CGAGCUCAAAUCAGCCCGAUGCCUCGCAUCCUCCCGACGCUGCCCUGUUUCCGAUCCCACAAAUUCUACCGAUGUCGCCACGGUCCGCACAAAUUCUCCCGAUGUCGCCCCAUACCUGACGCCCGACCCUCGCUCGCACCUCCCCACGAUCCGAGCUCACUCCAGACGGUUUUGCGGCUUCCCAACAUCGCCUCCGUCCUCUCCCCGUCCGUCGUCCAGGCCUCAGGGCGCCCUCACAGGCUCCAGCAGACGGUUUUCGCUGCGUCCUCCUCGCGCGAGUCCGUCGGCGGAAGGUGCCUCCGAGCGUCGCGAGUCCGGGGCGUCCUCCGAGCGUCGGCGGAAGGUGCCUCCGAGCGUCGCGAGUCUGUCGGCGGAAGGUGCCUCCGAGCAUCGCUGCGUCAUCCUUUCGUCCGUCGGCGGAAGGUCGUCGCGAGUCCGGGGCGUCCUCCUCGCGCGUCCGGGGCGGUACCGUGCCUCCGAGCGUCGCGAGUCCUGGGCGGUCUCCUCGCGCGUCCGGGCGGGACCGGCGGACCGCGCCUCCGAGCGUCGCGAGUCCGCGGCGAGCGGCCGGUCUCCGCGCGCGUCCGGGCGGGUACGCGCCUCCACGCGUCGCGUGUCCGCGGCGAGCGGCCGGUCUCCGCGUGCGUCCGGGCGGGUACGUGCCUCCGCGCGUCGCGCGUCCGGGCAGGUCCGCUGCUUCGAGCGUCGCGCGUCCGAGCGUAGCUCGUCCGAGCCGUCGGUCUCAGGUCGUCCUCUCCCCGUUCAUCGUCCAGGGCGUCUUCACAGGCCGCGCCGUCCUCUCCCCCUCAGAUCCCGUCGGUAGCAGGUAGGAGGCCGAGCCACCAUGCCCUCUUCGACCUUUGAGCGGGAUGAGGAGCGAGCAGAUCGACAAGGCGCGCCCUUUCCUCCUCCCUAGCUCGAUCCCAUCCUACUCUGUCCAGAUCCAAGUGAUUUUAACAUUUAUUUAUACCCGAGGUGUGUCGAAAGCAGGGGAAUUCAUUGCAGAUGCCAUAUCUAGAGUAGGGAACGGGAUUUGAAAAACAGAAGAUGUUUUGAUCUAAUUGGGAUCCGCUGCCUCUUGGAGUCUGAAGUGGCAGGGCACUGCGUUGGGAGUGCUGGUGUCCAAGGCAGCACUAGCAUAAGCAGGAGAAUGCAUUAAUGAAAUGAGUAAUCCAAGCUUUGCGCUAUCUUAGGCAGGUUGCUCAUGAAGAUACCCAUUCUGUAAUAAUUGGAUGGACACAGUAGCAUGCUGCUUUACACGAUAUUAGGUUUAAAGAAGCCCUCAAUGGGCUUGCUGAGGCUGGAUGGCCUGUGAUUGAAAGUGGAGUGGACGAUAUUUUUAUCUCUAUUAACUCAUUCCUGAAUAAAGUGAUCGAUUGCAUGAAACUUACAAUAAUGGAUCGCUUUUAGUCAGUAGCAGUGUACUCUAUGCAAAUGCAUCGAUGCUACAGCAGUUUUUUGUGUAGAUCCCACUUGGGCACUAGCGCUACCACUUGUGGUGUAAUAUCUUUCACUUGUUGACCAUCAAUCCAUCUAUUAGAUAUAGAUUUCCUUGGCUGAUCUUCAUAGUGCAGUGCCAAUGGAAGCUACAAUCUUGCCACCUUGGUAAGUUCAAUUCCUCGUGUACUCUAUUCCUAGUUAGACCUUAUGCUAGUAUUGGUCAUUGCGGUUAAUUCUAAAAAUCUUGCACUCAUGUGAACAGUUCUACUGCCACCUGUUUACUGAAUUGGGCUUAGUCCAUUCUAUGCCAAUAUAUACUCAUGGCCUCCCUCUGUUAUGUUUUCUCCAUCAUGUCUAAUUGGAUCAGGAUCUUUUAGUUGUGCUUAUAUUCAUGGCUCCAUGCUAUUCUGUUUCAGUUUUCUCUGCUUGCCUAAUGCCUAUAUUUUCUUUUUUUCCAUUCCACAAUUGUACUUCUCAUUUUUCCUUUUGCUAUGCAAGAUUCGAACAUGGUAAACAAAGCAUGUAUAUUGAUAUGAUCUUGUUUUACGAGGAAUCCCUGAACUUAUUCAGAGGGGCUGAUCAGAAUUUUUUGACAGAUACACUAUUGUUUCAUUCCCUAACAUGGGGACAGUGUCUUUGGUGGAUGACAGGCUCGAUUCUGCUAUGGUUGCAAGACACAUACCUAAACAUAUAGUUGCAAAUAUUUGUGACCAUGUCAGUAAUAUGUGUGAGGAAAUCAUAAUAAAUUGUCACUGAUUUUGUACAAAGGUAUUUAGUUUAAAUACAUAAUUCUUUAAUCCAAAAAUUAAAUUCUAGACAUUAGUAGCUUAUCUGUGCAGUCAAGAUGUGCUCUGUUGAUUUCAUUUCUUGUAAGCUAAUAUAUUGUGCUUAACUUUUUAAAUUCUAGACAUUAGGAGCUUAUCUGUGCAGUCAAGAUGUGCUCUGUUGAUUUCAUUUCUUGAAGCAACAUUUUCCGGAUACUGUGGAGCUAUCUGGAUGGGGUGUACGAUGUAUGCUGCCCAGCUUCUCGUCUCAAUGCUCUUGGUUGUGAGUUCGUAUCCAUCUUAAUUAAGCUUAAAUGAAAUGUGCUCACAAAUUUGGUUGGACUAUCAAAUGUGCAGUUUCGGCUGAAGCUUUUAAACUAUUGUUAUUCCUCAAAAUGGCCACAAAUGCAUUCACGUUUGCUUUUCUUUUACUACCUUGAAAUUCGUUGAACCAAAUAUACCGUCAAAUGAGAGAUUCAGAUUUCUGUUAUCAAUUUUGUUGGAAACUUCUGGUCUUCUUGUUUGAGAGUGCUGGAAGCUUUUGCUCAUUGUAGUUUGUUUUAGCCUUGUGGAAUAUUGGCUAUUACUGUCAAUUGGUGGAUAAAUAAUCUAUCUUCUAUUGACCACCUGUUGUAUAUGAUGUAAAAGUAAACUAGGUAACUAAGUCUGAAUCUCCAACUAUAGUUGAAAUAACACUGCAUUGGAAUUGACCAUUAUGUUGAUAUUUCAAGUUUGUAGGACAAAAAGUAUUGUGCCUUUUUAUUACAUUAUCAUGUGAUCAUCUCUAGCCUUCCAUUUGAACUCUUGCAUGCAUCAUUGUAAAUGUGGUUGCAAUACCCUUUGUCAGAGUAUCACAACCUAAAUAUAACCCUGACAUUGCUAAAUAUUUGCAACUUUACCUGUUUUUUAUCCCUUAAAUGUUUUGAUCCCUGGACCCAUGUUGACAUGUGUAUAGUUGCACUAGCCUACUGUCACAGUGCUAAUGCUUUAAAAUAUAGUGGUCAAGAGAAUCGUAGAUUCUCUGAGGUAGUAUAAAAAAGGUUAAGAUUUAAAUUAUAUGAAGUUUUAGAAGACAGGCAUGUUCUAACAGUUUCUUCAUAUGCUCUCAUCCUUUUUUAUGUAAAUUUCUUUCCCAUAGUUAUAUAUGUGGUGCUAUCUCUGUUGUGGUGCUAUCUUUGUUCCAAAUAUUUUUUUAAAUUAUAUGGAGUUUUAAAGACAGACAUGUUCUAACUCUUACUUAUAGCUUGAUAAAAUAAUAUAGUUGUGGUGCUAUCUUUGUUCCAAAUAUUUCCAAUACCGUAAAAAUAUUAUAUUCUGUCUUUGGUUUGGGACAGAGAAAAAUUGAGAGCCUUGAGGUUCUAAGCUUACCACUAUACAUGAAUCUUUAUUUAACCUGCCUACUGAUGUGUGCUCUCACCAGUUACAUAUUUUUUUUUCUAAUUUUAUUAGUUAGCCUUCUUCGACCAGUAGGUGAUGUUGGCCUCAUCGGUACUCAUCAGCAACUAGUGUGCAGCUAGCACGAUUUUAUGAUUUAUCUAUCUUGAUUUAUGUAUGCACUAGCUGACAUUAAAGGAACAAAUUUAUUAUGACUACUACAAACGUGAGCAUUUGUAUCGCUUUUACCAUGUACAACUUCCCGUUACUUGCUCUGCCACUAUACUGAAUUUUGAUCUGUACUACCAUUUACUUUUGUAAGUUUGACCUCCUCUAAUGCACACAUGUUCUGCUAUAGUCAACCUGGGGCAAAUGCACCAUUCGGAGUCGGCACCAUUCCUACCAAUCGCAUCAACCAGUUGUACAUGUACUAAUAAGAACUGUACGACCACUAUGCAACACAGCCUGCUUGGAGUCA